rnacentral:rRNA from 1 species
AGAGUUUGAUCCUGGCUCAGAACGAACGUUGGCGGCGUGGAUUAGGCAUGCAAGUCGAACGAAUCCCAGUUGGGCAACUGACUGGGGGAAGUGGCGAAAGGGGCAGUAAGGCGUGGGUAACCUACCCCAGAGUUCGGGAUAGCCAUCCUAACGGAUGGGUAAUACCGGGCGACGUGCCGAGGGGGCAUCUCCUUGGCAUCAUAGAUCCGUCGCUCUGGGAGGGGCUCACGUGGUAUUAGCUUGUUGGCGGGGUAACGGCCCACCAAGGCCAAGAUGCCUAGCAGGUGUGAGAGCACGACCUGCGCCACUGGCACUGUGACACUGGCCAGACUCCUACGGGAGGCUGCAGUCGAGGAUCUUCGGCAAUGGGCGCAAGCCUGACCGAGCGACGCCGCGUGCGCGAUGAAGGCCUUCGGGUUGUAAAGCGCUGUCGAGAGGGAGGAAGGCCCGCAAGGGCUUGACCUAUCUCUGGAGGAAGCACGGGCUAAGUUCGUGCCAGCAGCCGCGGUAAGACGAACCGUGCAAACGUUGUUCGGAUUCACUGGGCUUAAAGGGCGCGUAGGCGGGCGACAGGGUCGGUAGUGAAAUCCUCCCGCUCAACGGGAGAAGGGCUGCCGAAACCGGUUGUCUCGAGUGAGGUAGGGGCGUGUGGAACUUCCGGUGGAGCGGUGAAAUGCGUAGAUAUCGGAAGGAACGCCGGUGGCGAAAGCGGCACGCUGGACCUCUUCUGACGCUGAGGCGCGAAAGCCAGGGGAGCAAACGGGAUUAGAUACCCCGGUAGUCCUGGCCCUAAACGAUGGGUACUAGGUAGUGGACUAGCAUGGGUUCACUGCCGAAGCAAAAGUGGUAAGUACCCCGCCUGGGGAGUAUGGUCGCAAGGCUGAAACUCAAAGGAAUUGACGGGGCUCAC